rnacentral:lncRNA from 1 species
AUGUUCCUCCCUUGAGCCUGCACCCUGGCUAUUUUGAUCAUACACUGAAGAAACGGAAGAGGAUGCGCAGGAGAUAGCAGUGGUUACUUGACUUGUCGCUAUUCUUUGAAUGCAGCUGUACCCGGUCACACAGUCAGAGCUGCACAGCUCUCCAGACACUGUGACGGUCCCCUGGAGCUGUCCUCCUCCCUCUGCAAGAGAAUCUGUGGCCUGAAACAUGGGACCUUCAUGCGUGCCUUCUCAAAGCUGGAGUUCAGCUCCUUUUCAGAGCAGUUCCCAGCUCUGCCGGUACGGCCUGCGUUCCUGUCUCCCAGCAAGGAGUGGGGCUGUACCACAGCGCCUGCUGUCAGCCUGGCCCAUUCAAGACCAGAAUGAAACAUUUCUGGAACACCAGCACAGUGCUUCCGAGAGCUGCAAGGAGCAGCUGCUUAACCAGCAGUGAUUUGAGGCAGACAGAGCAGAUAUCUGGAAAGAACAGUGAAACAAUGCAAUUGAACUACUGUAGGUCUCAUGGAAGUGUAAUAACCACCUGGAGUAAGAACAUUGUUUAAGGUUCCAUCAGAACAACUUUUGCAUAAAGAUUAAUAGCGUCCUCUUUUUUAUUCUUCUGGUUCUCCCUAUUGAAAGGGGCAAGGUGGCCUGGCAAGGCUUUAAAUCUCUGUUUCCAAGCUUUUGUGUUUUAAUUCUUGGUCCCUGAGCCAGAUCUUGUAUCUUCACAUAUAGCUGCCCUUCACAAAAGAUCUCAGAACCAUAAUAAUUUCCUAGCCAGUAAGAAAAAAAUAAAAUCAAAAAAUCAU